rnacentral:miRNA from 1 species
GUGGUCACCAAACCAAGUCCUCAUGGACCACCAACAGUCCAGGAUUUGUGUAUUUCCCUUUUUCAUUCCAAUGGAGAUGCUGACAAAACCUGGACUGUUGGUGGUCCAUGAGGACUGGUUUGGGGACCA